GAAAAUGUGGAAUUUCUUAUAUAUCCAAACAAUAUAUGUCAGUAUAAAUAAUACAGUUUAAAUGCUAACAGUUGUGAUUACUUUCAAUAUAAAAACAUUAAAAUACACAAGAGGAAAUACAAAGGAUAGAGGUUAAACAUAGUGCUUUAAAACCACAGGUAUACCAAAUUAUUUUACAUCUUUCAAAACAUAAAUUAAUGGAAGUCACAGAUGUAGUGACUAUCAUUCAGGGGA
rnacentral:lncRNA from 1 species